rnacentral:rRNA from 1 species
GACAGAGGGUGCAAACGUUGUUCGGAUUUACUGGGCGUAAAGCGUGUGUAGGCGGCUUUGCAAGUCGGAUGUGAAAGCCCGGGGCUCAACCCCGGAAUUGCCUUUGAGACUGCAUCGCUAGAAUUGUGGAGAGGUGAGUGGAAUUCCGAGUGUAGAGGUGAAAUUCGUAGAUAUUCGGAAGAACACCAGUGGCGAAGGCGACUCACUGGACACAUAUUGACGCUGAGGUGCGAAAGCGUGGGGAGCAAACAGG